GGGGAUUUAGCUCAGUGGUAGAGCGCUUGCCUACAAGCGCAAGGCCCUGGGUUCGGUCCCCAGUUCCCA
rfam:Rattus norvegicus chromosome 10, whole genome shotgun sequence.